rnacentral:rRNA from 1 species
UACGUAGGGGGCGAGCGUUGUCCGGAUUUAUUGGGCGUAAAGAGCUCGUAGGCGGCUUGGCAAGUCGGGUGUGAAACCUCCAGGCUCAACCUGGAGACGCCACUCGAUACUGCCAUGGCUAGAGUCCGGCAGGGGACCACGGAAUUCCUGGUGUAGCGGUGAAAUGCGCAGAUAUCAGGAGGAACACCGGUGGCGAAGGCGGUGAUCUGGGCCGACACUGACGCUGUAGAGCGAAAGCGUGGGGAGCGAACAGG